GAUCCUGGCUCAGGAUGAACGUUGGCGGUGUGCCUAAUACAUGCAAGUCGAACGGUGGUUAUUUUGUAGUAAUACGAAGUGAUCAUAGUGGCGAACGGGUGAGUAACGCGUUGGUGAUCUGCCUCGAAGUGUGGAAUAACGUUCCGAAAGGAACGCUAAUACCGCAUGUGCUCUCGAUUUUUAGAAAGUUGAGAGUAAAGGAUUUAUUCGCUUCGAGAGGAGCCUGCGUCCCAUCAGCUAGUUGGUAGGGUAAUAGCCUACCAAGGCUUUGACGGGUAGGGGACCUGAGAGGGUGGCCCCCCACAAUGGAACUGAAACACGGUCCAUACACCUACGGGUGGCAGCAGUAGGGAAUAUUAGAAAUGGACGAAAGUCUGAUCUAGCGACACCGCGUGUGCGAUGAAGGCCUUCGGGUUGUAAAGCACUUUUUGGAAGGAAUAGGAAGGAAGGUACUUCCAGAGUAAGUCUCGGCUAACUACGUGCCAGCAGCCGCGGUAACACGUAGGAGGCAAACGUUAUCCGGAUUUACUGGGCGUAAAGCGCGUGUAGGUGGUUCUGUAAGUAGGGCGUGAAAGCUCCCGGCUCAACUGGGAGAGGCCGUUCUAAACUGCAGAGCUAGAGGAUGGUAGAGGGAGGUGGAAUUCCAGGUGUAGCGGUGGAAUGCGCAGAUAUCUGGAGGAACACCAGUGGCGAAAGCGGCCUCCUGGACCAUUCCUGACACUCAGACGCGAAAGCUAGGGUAGCAAACGGGAUUAGAGACCCCGGUAGUCCUAGCCCUUA
rnacentral:rRNA from 1 species